AGUCAAAGUAACCAGCUCCUUAUCCCUCUACAAGACGCCAUAAGUGGAGGGGAGAAGUAAGAUGUCAGUCUUCAUGUGGGACUUUCUCUGCUCAGGGAACAGGAACAAAAAUCACUGUUCUGAAAGAAAUUGAAGAUUUGCAGGCUUCAAAGUCUGGAUGCAUGUUUCUUCAUGCCACCAUCUUUUAUGGUAUCAAUGUGAUGUCAUUAUGGACAAUGUUGCUGUCAACUGUAUAGUAGCUGUUAUGGUUUAUUCCCACAAAAUCCUUGCACAAUACAA